CACAUUGCACCUGGGUAAUUUUCCUGUCUCAUAAAGAUGAACUCUAAGAAAUUUUGAAUAUUAAUGCAAAAAGAUUGAAAGAGAAAAAGGGAUAUCUGAUCUCAAAAAUUCAAAGUGAUCAUGGAGGCGAAUUUGAAAGCAGAGCUUUUGAAGACUUCUGUAACGAUCAAGAAUACAUUCACAAUUUCUCUGCAUCAAGCUCACCACAGCAAAAAGCGAUUGUGGAAAGAAAGAACAGAACUCUUCAAGACAUGGUUGUCACACCUCCUUUUUCACAACACCCGCAAGGGCAUAAAGGAGUUUUUCCACUUAAAGGACAAUCGAAACGAGAUUUAAUUAUUAAGAUUUCAGAGUUGGCACUUGUGAGAUUAAUGGUGUCCCAAGUCACCGGUUGAAUCCCGAACCGAGGAAAGAUAUUGACUCUGUUAAAAGUUUGCGAACCAGAAAUCCGAGUAAGGAAUUCUGUUAACCCGGGAGAAGGUGUUAGGCAUUCCCGGGUUCCAUGGUUCUAGCAUGGUCGCUUAACUGUUAUAUUUGAUUUUAUCUUAUUUCAAAACAUGUUUUAGCUUAUGUGUUUUUCAACCUUAGACCGCUUUUAUAUUUAUUUUAAUGAGAAUUGCAACAUUGUGAAAAUACGUCUCGAACCAUAUCACAUCGAUAUAUCCGUGGUUGUUGACAUAUAUUGACUCCGUUGGUUUUGGAUUUGGGUCACAUAAAUAUGCACCCGAGUUUAAGAAGGUAAGUUAUUAAAAACGCGCCUAAAACAUCUAACACGUUAUUUUAUUUGGGGAGGGCUGUGAAAUUUGCUAAAUAGCCCGUCCUGAUUCUAAUUCCAAAGAAUUGUACUCAACUAAAGCAAACUAUGAGAUUUCAACAUCACAUUAUCACUUUCUCGUCCUAACUCUCAACUCACCGCCCAUUGUCACCGAAAUCUAACAGCUAGAACCAAAACAUCUUCCUAUACAUCCACUUAUUGAUAACAAAUUAACAACAAUGAGUAGAGAAGAAUAACUUAAAUAAUAGCAUUAAAAGUCCUAAAAAUAAUGCACACACAAACCAAUGAUCUAGCUAACUACCAAAAUCCAUAAAAUUUAUAUCCUAAGUGCCUAUGCUCAUGUUGUAAUCGGGUAAAAGCAACAGUUCACAAAUGACUUACAUCAAGAAAAACCACAGUAACCUGCUAUUGAUAUCACUUUAAGCAUACCACUGCAUCUACUAGCUCAAUAAUGCAUAGAUCUUAGCAAGACGAACUUGAGAUAAUCGUUUCCUUUCAAGUUUAAUUUCAACCAGAUGCGCUACUGAUCAUAAUUAGUGCAACAGUCAGAUUUUAGUCAUAAACAUGCGGCAAGAAAAUCUACACCUGAAUACAACUUUAAACAUGGCUGCUUGAAUCAAGACAUAAUAACUUUCACCAAAAUACUACUUCUCAGUUUACUCGGCAAUUGGAAUCAGACAACAAAUUCAAAAAAAAAAACUAGUAUUCUCCUUCCAUAUAGACCGAAGACAAACAAUUCAAUCCAUUUAAACCCCGGCUCUCAUUAUCAGUUAAUCAUACCUUCAGUAUAAGGGUCAAAGAUUCAAAGAUUCAAACCUGAAUAAGAGCUUUGAAUUGAUGUUGAAAUCACUAGAAAGAGGUACAAAUGAAUUUGGAUGUGCAAAUUCCAGCAGCGAGCUAAACAUUGAGUAGCAACAAAAAACUAAUCAGACUAAACACAGCGGAACCUCGAGCAACAGCGGGGAACUCGACUCGACACCUCGACUCGAUUUCAAAAACUCAAAUAGUUCUCAGACGGCCACUCGAAGCAGUGAACCAAUUGAAACAACGGCUCUGAAUUCGACAACCACCAGUGAAUCCAAAUCCACAUUCGUUCACUUGAAGUCCAUCAUUUAAGAAUUUAACUCAAAACCCAAAACAAAUUUAAAAAAUCGAGAACAGAGGAAGGGAAAGACGAAUCUGUGUUUUUUUCUGUCCCCAGAUCUCCUCUCCCCCUUUUCUAAUUCUCUUAGUCUGUCCAAUAGAGGAGAGUGCGUGCAUUUUUAUCUAAAGAAGAAGAUGGGUAGAUUCACGUUAUUUCCGUGUCCCUAAGGUGUGAGGGAUCUGAUGGGUUUUUAAAUGGGUUGGGUCAUGGUUUGACCCAUUUUCUUGGACUGGGGUAUUUUAACUUGGGCUAGCCAAUUUAAAUGACAAAUGGCCCAAAGUUGGCUGGCCCUUUAUUUCUUCAUUUCAAUUUCUUUUUAUUUUCUUUCUUCUUUUUUAUUUAUUUAAAUUUUGGAUUUUGUUAAGUGCAAAAAUUAAAAAUAUCCAAAACCUUAUUUAAUAAGACUAAUUAAAUUUCCUAAAAUUAACUAGAUCCUAACUAUAAGAGGAAAAUUAGACAAAAGUGAAGUUAAAGGAACAAAAGUGCAAAAUGAUUAUUUUUUGGUUAUUUAUUUUUUCCUCUUAUGUUCAAUGAUGUUCAAUUAAUCUAAAAACCUAGAAUUGGGUCCUAAAUGCGAGCAUGCUAUUUUUGCAAAUUUUUCAUUUUUUAUGACGACUAAAAAUGCACAGAAAAUGCAAACAAAACACAAAAUCAUGAAAUUAAUUCCUAAAAGUUCUAAUACUAAAAGAAAAAUUCUAAUUUUAAUGAUUCUAUAGGUGUAAUUUAAGCGCAAAAAAAAUUAUGUGCUCAUAGCUGCCCCUAUUUGCUCGAAGACACGAAGAGUUUUCGGGCAAAGAUAAAUGAGCAACAUGAGGGAUUUUUGCCUACUCGGCACCCCAGGAGAAGUAUUUUUGAAAACUGUCUGACCGUACCCCACUUCAGAGUUUCCUACAUAUCCUUGGCUAUAAAGGAAUCAGGUCAGUAUAGUUCUUGAAGUGAGUGAGAUGAUAGAGUAUGCCGAGGUGGAGAGGCAGUCAAGGUUCCGUUCUGCCGAGGUUCCGUUCCGUGGUCCUGUUAUUAUAUCAAAAAUCAAAACAUGAAAAAGACUAACUAAGCAUGUCAGCUAUGAGUUACAUGAUUCCUAUCAAUAAGUCUUCUGAAGCUUGAUCUUGAGUCUUAAAUAGUUGUCAUACAGACUUUGGAUUUGAACCUUUACGCUUGCUAGUUGCAGGUGCUAGUUCAUUCUUCCUUAGCUUUUCAUACCAAACCCGGACAACACACCAUGCUUGUGACUUCAUUCAUGUCUUAAGCAGCUCACAUCUUUCAUUAGCUUCUGCAUUUGGAUUAAUUUCUUGCCCUUCUAAUUUUUUUUAUUGUGACUAACUUUUGUUGAUCACCUCGGACUGCUGACUCCCCUUCUUGCCACGAGCUUCUUUUGUUGCUAACAUGAAUUGUGUUCUAAAGUGGGUUCUCUUAUUCUCCAAGUAGGCGCCUGAUUGCUAAUACUUGCACUGUUUUUCCUCGAAGCUUGAGCUAUUUUCCCUUGAAAUUUAUGCUAUAUUCCUUUGAAACUUGAAUUGCUUUCCCUUAGUUUUCCAGGUGGGUUUCUGAUUACCAACAUUUACAAUAUUUUUCCCUUGAAACUUGAAUUGUCUUCCCUUGUUCUCAAGGUGGGUGUCUGAUUGCUGAAACUUUCUGUGUUCCCUUAUUUUUCAUGUGGGAUCCUGCAACCAAAACAAACAAAACAAACAAAAUUUUCUGCCCCAGUUUGCAAUGGGAAGAUUUGUGAGUUGUUAGCAAAAUUGUAAACUACUUAUACUACUGAUGCUAUGAUGAGAGUAAACUAAAGACUAGACUAGGAUGUGUGUCUCCUACGAAUAAAACCAAAAAUUGACUAGCAAAUACGUCUGCUAAAAUAAAACCUGAAUGAACCAAACUAGGAAGUGUUUCUCCUAAUGAUGAAUUUGAAUGACCAAGACUAGGAAGUUCGUCUCCUAUGGAUGAAAACUUCAGUGACUAAAACGAGAAAGUGCAUCUCCUAUGAAUGAACUUCUCAAUUUAGGGAGUGCAUCUCCUAUGAGAAUGACUUGAAAGAUCUUGAUUAGGAAGUGUGUCUCCUACAGGUAAAACUUCAAUGAACCAGCAUAGGAAGUGCGUAUCCUAAGGCCGAACUUAAAUGACUCAAACUAGGAAGUGCGUCUCCUAGGGGUGAAAUCUCAAUUUAGGAAAUUUGUCUCCUAUGGGUAAAACUUAAAUGACUCAAACUAGGAAGUGCGUCUCCUAUUAAUGAACUAUCAAUUUAGGAAGUGCGUCUCCUACAGGUAAAUCUUCGAUGAACCGGACUAGGAAGUGUGUCUCCUAUGGUUGAUCUUGAAUGACCUAAACUAGGAAGUGCGUCUCCUAGGGGUGAAUUUAAAUAUAGGAAGUGCGUCUCCUAAUAUAAAAUAUAACCUGAAAAAAUAACUAGACCAGGAAAUGCGUCUCCUAGAUGUGGAACUUUCAUAAUUUAAACUAGGAAAUGCAUCUCCUAUAAAUGAGCAAGUGCAUCUCCUAUGGGUAAAACUUCAAUGAACCAAACUAGGAAGUGUGUCUCCUAGGACCGUAUUUAAAUGACUCAAACUAGGAAAUACGUCUCCAACAAAUGAACUUUCAAUUUAGGAAGUGUGUCUCAUAUGGGUAAAACUUCAAUGACUCAAACUAGGAAGAGCGUCUCCUAUGAAUGAACUUUCAAUUUAGAAAGUGUGUCUCCUAUGGGUGAAAAUCAACUUAGGAAGUGCGUCUCCUAUGGGUGAAAUCAAUUUAGGAAGUGCGUUUCCUAGAGCAAACUGUAAAUUGAAAGACUUAGACUAGGAAGUGCAUCACUUAGGGGUAAACCCAUCAGUGACUCAAACUCAUAUGAUCCAAACUAGGAAGUGCAUCUCCUAAGGGUAAAAUCUCAGUUUAGGAAGUGCAUCUCCUACAACAAAAAUAUAACUCGAAAACAUAGACUAUGAAAUGCUUCUCCUAGUGGUGAUGCGUGAUCUUCUCAAUAGCCUUUGCGCAAGCAGAAUUGGCCAUUACACCCAAAAAAAUUAACCUUCCGAGCUUUGAUAUGAACAUUGCUUCUGUCCCUGUUUCAUACAAAGAAUACUUGUGAGUUUAAAAAUGGUGGUUGGUUUGUGGCCUUGACUUUGCUAUGAUUGCUCCUUCACUUGCCAUGAUAACAUUGAUUUCGCCUUGAAAUACAUUGCUUGCUUAUUCACUAACCAAUUUCUCUAUCACCCAUAUCACAGUAAAUACCUCUUCUCCGUUCAGACCCAAUACCCUAUAUCUGUUAUAGCACUCAAGAACUGACAUCCACCAAACCUUUGUAUUUCACAUGAUCCCCAUAGUAUAUUGAUUAUUACCAACUUCAGUACGUACAUUGUUUUUUCCUGAUUUAAAUCACUGGCCUUUGCCUUGAGACCUAUCGUUCCCUCACUUGUCACGAUAUCUUUAACUUCUGCUUGGAAGACCUCGUUUAUCACUGAUUAACCACUUUCUUUGUUGAUCAUCACAGAGAAUACCUUUGACCCAUUCAUCCAACAUCCUCUAUUUGUUUCAUUGUCCAUGACUUGAUAUGUACCAAACCUUUGUGUUUCACAAGGAUCCUGAAGUAUGUGGAUUGUUACCAGAUCAGUGCUCUUGUUGUUUUUCCUAACUUGUGAUACUUUGAUGUGCUUAGCCAAACCCCAUUUUGUACAAUCAGAAAGCUGGAGGCAAAUUUUGAAGUCAUUUCUCACUUGUUAUGUCCAACAGACUCAGGAAAAGGAAAUGAACAAAACAAAGGAACGGAGUGAAGGACAAAGGGAAGAGAUGAUUCCAAAAGAGAAAACUACAAAGUAGAAACCUAUCAUAUGUGGAUACCAAUUCUAAUGACCAUUACAUGCACCUGUAGAUAUUCUGUCAAUCAAACCUGAUUUUCAGCUCUUGUUGUUCCUUUUCACCGUGAAAUUGGGCUUCAAUGCUCCGCUUAUCUAAUCUGAUUCGCAAUCCUUAUUCGACUUGUAGUGCCCGAAGUAUUUUCACCAUCAAGUCGCUCUCAUUUUGUUCUUUAUCUCAACAUACCGUUGCCUCAAGAUGCCCAUGAAGGUUUUCACCAAUAAGACUCUCACAUUUUUAUUUCUCUUAGCUUUCAUCAUCUUGCGGUACCCCUGAGGGUUUUCAUCAAUUAGACUCUCUCAUUUUUCCUUUUUCCUUGCUUAAUCCAGAAUGUUGACCUUGAUAUUAAUCACCUCUGCUUGCUCGACUUGGCAUGUAUCGAAGACUGAUCAUAACGUCUUUCUUUGGACUGUAAUGUGGGCUUUUGAAAGGGGUUAGAAAGAAAGGGUAUAAAAUGCUCAAAACAAUUCAAAUGGGUUAAAAACUACAACUUUUGGAAUCAAAUUUCUCACAACAACCACAACUUCUGCCCCAGUUUCUUGCUUGGGGACUUUUGAAUUUUUAUUUCGAUAAGACCGAAUCGUGAGGCUUCCUACGUAUCCUUAAAAGAAUCAGGUCGAAUGUAGUUAAUGUCAUAGGAAUUACUCUGUUGUUGUGAUUUUUAUUUUCUUUUUCUUCUUCUUUCUCUUCUUUCUUUUCUUUCUUCCUUUUCUCUUUUAUGUUGUCUUGUUGUUUUGUUGUUUUUUUCUUUUUCCUUUUUUCUUCUCUUUUCCUAUUUUUCUUUUCUCAUUCUUCUUUUUUUAUCUUUUCAUUCUUUUUCUUUUCUCUCAUCCCUUUACUAAUCUUUCACGCUUGUGUUUCUGAUCUUUGCUACGGAUUCCAAAAGAGGGGUAUGAAAGGAACUAACAAGGCUCAAAAGGAUGAGAAGGGAUAAAAAUUUUAGAUAGCAGAACAAAAUGCCUUCGUCAUUCCAAUCCCCAAAACAUGCUAAGUGUGAAUUACACAAUUAAACAACCGUAUCCACGCAUUCGUCUUCUGCAAAUGUGAACUACAAAAUGCCAUUGGACAACACUCUGACUCUCAUUACCCCGAACGACCCCCUGUCAAUUUGGCAAACUUGCCUUUAGGAUUUCAUUAUGUUCUAUCUUCCCUAGUUCCACAUAGUUCGGGCGUCAACAAUCUCAAAACAUCCAAAUCCAUUCUUAUUUCCUCAGAAAUGAUUCCAUUGCUUGCUUACUAAAUGACUUUUAAAUAUCAUACUAGGAAUAAUGCAUGCAUGUCAUGUCACUAGAACCAGCACGAAACAAAAGACAAAACAAAAAAACAAAGAAGAUGACUGGAGGUAAAAAAGACCGAAAUUUUUAUUAGACAAACGGUGAAACAGUUCACAUAAUAACACAAGCAAAACAAACUGGAGUACAACCCUAAAACAAACAUGGAAAACACUAAACAGACCAUUACGACUAAACAAGCUAGACAAAAUGAAAGGAUAAGAGGGUUUGAACACAAGACAAUAUCCAGAUUACAGUCCUAAAAAUAACCCGCACAAUAGAAAUGACAACAAAAUAAACCACCUAGACUUCUCUCUAGCUAGCCAAGAGACGAAGCGUCUUUCCAAUUACCAAGCUCGGCAUCUUAGCCACUGAGUUCUGCAUCAAUAUUUCCAAGACCAUUACCAACUUCAAUAUGAUCAACUUCAGUCAACAAGUUCCCAAGAGGAUUCGCAUGCUCCCUAUCACUGUCAUUAACCACAAUUACCCCUUCUUCAAUCAUUAUUUCUACUUUCCUUUUUCAAUUCACGACAAUUCUCCACAUUGUGCCCCAGAUCAUUGGAGUGGUAUUCACACCUAUUAGAUGAGUCAAAGCUUCUCGCACGUCGGUCCACCUGAUUUGGAGGAAUGGGUGAAAUCAUGUCAUGUUGUCUUAACUUCUCAAAUAGGCUUGCCCUUGGACAAUAGAGUUGUACAUGCAUCGUAGAGUAGGAUCAAAUCCUUUUGCAUAUGGGUCUAGAGUAUAGCCAAGGAGCGGCUCAAUCAGGCUAGAAUGCUUUAACUUUUCAAAUAAGCUUGCAUAGGACUCCCCAAUUCGCGUGAAGCUAUUUCUUUAUCUUUGCUUCCCUGCCUAUUUUUUUCGUUUGUUGGGUGCUCGAAAAUGUUGUGAAGGCAAUAAUGCAUUAUACGGUGCUGGCGCUUGCCAUAUGAACUGACCUGGUGGUUGGACAUAUGACCGGACAUUGUUUAGAGAUAAUACUGAGGUGGAUUACGUGGAGCUCGGGGAUAGGUUUGGGGUUGGAGUUGAGGCUGGGUGUAUUGGUGAGGCGGAUCCUUUGGUCUAUGUCGUGACUCUGAAACAACCAUGGCAACAUCAUCACGUUCCUUCUGACCCCAGCGAUCUUCCUAGGUCGCUCUGAAUUGCUCGUGUUGUGGCUUUCAAAGCAGAAUAACUUAUGAUCUUGCUAGACUUCAGCCCAUUUUCUACCAUUUCUCUCAUUUUUAUCACAUUAUUGAAAUGCUUACCCACAGCCAUGAUCAAAUGCCCAAAAUAAGUUGGUUCUUGAGCUUAAAGAAAGUAGUCGACCAUCUCUCUUUCUUUCAUUGGGGGAUCGACUCUAGUAGCUUGCUAUCUCCAUUUGAGCCCGUACUCCCUAAAGCUUUCAUUAGGCUUCUUUUCCAUCUUGGCAAGGGACCUGCGAUCCGGGACGAUUUCCAUAUUAUACUGAAAGUUCCUGGCAAAACCUUAAUCCAUAUUGUCCCACGUGUACCACCUGUUAGCAUCUUGGCAGGUGUACCACUCCUGAGCUGCCCCACUUAGACUCUGACUGAAAUACGCAAUCAAUAAUUUGUCUUUCCCACCGACGCCUCUCAUCCUACUGAAGUAACCUCUCAAAUGAGCCACGGGAUCUCCGUGCCCGUCAUAUAAAUCAAACUUUGGUAUAUUAAACCCAGCAGGCAAUUGGACGUCAGGAAACAAGCACAAGUCUUUGUAAGCCACGCUCAUCUGGCCCCUUAUUCCUUGUAUGUUUCUUAAAGACUGCUCUAAGAUUUUCACCUUCCUGGAUAUCUCAUCCUGAUCCACCGUCUUGCCAGGCUUUUCAGUUUCACCAUGAGCCUCAAGAUGAAGAGCGUGAGAGUAUGGAUCCGAGACUUUGAAAUUUCGUUCUGGAGCAAAGUGUUGGGCAUCAGGGACUUUGAACACAGUCUCGUUAGAGGAUCGAGGAAAAAUAGUUGGUGGAGGAGCUCCAAAAGCAUAAGGGGCCAAAUGAGCGGUACAUGAGGUGGUUUUGGCGGGUAGGGUGUGAAAAGGUUGUGGGGAGAUAUUAGCAGCGGUGAGAAUCUGGAUUUGUGCUAGUGGUGGAAUAGUUGCAGGGUUUUUAGUGUAGCUAGUGGGGAAUGAAGGUGUAGGAUGCCCCAUAAUCCAAGACUGAUGCAUUUCUGCCAUCUGUUGUUUCAUCCUUUGGAGCUUCUCUUUCAAUUCAGACUCCGACCCCACAAACUCCCUUGAGGGAUCAACAACUCUUGUGUCCAAGUUUUUGCUAGCCAUGGCUACCUUGUCCUUUGACCUUGUGUUGUAUGGACGAGUUACCUUAAGAACCACAAACUAACCACCUUUCUGCUAUAAUGAGGAGAACAAAAUGAAGUCAUCAUGUUAGCGUUAGGGCAUUUAACUGCUAAAGAUAUCACAUUUAAUGCAAUGCACCUAGCCAUAAUUAUCGAUUCUAAAAUGACUUCGAGGGUACGAAGGUCAGUUGGCAUCAUCCCCAUUUAUUCAUUUCAACUUCUCUUUUCUUUGCUUUUCUGGCACUUGCUUGCUCAUUUUUCUUUCUCUUUUCUCUUUGAAUUAUCGCUCUUUUCUUUCCUCUCAUUUCUCGCAUCCCAUGAUUUCACCCUUUUUUUCUUCAUUUUAUUCUUUUUCUUUUUCUUUCUUUUUAUUUUAAUAAAUAAAAAAAUAUUCGAUCGAACCUUAUGUAGGUUGCCUACGUAUUAUGACCUCGCAUGAAUUAGAUCUUGGCGUAGUUCAGGAAAAUCAUGAAUAAAAUAAACAAACUAACAUUCUCCUUUUUGCUUUUUUUUAUGACAGUCUGAUGAGAAAAGAAAAAUGAAGUAGCAAACCUUUUUUUCGGAAUUUUCUAGAAUGAAUGUUCUAUACCUUAUUCUAAACUCAAGCUUAAUGAGCAUAUAUAUAUAUAUAUAUAUACAUUUUUUGAAGCAAAUACUCUAUUAAGGAAAAUCCUAGAAGAGAAAAAUAUUUUUUGACCAUUUUUUAAGGAAGAAAAUCUAAAGAAUAAAUAACAGCAAAAAAUUAUUUAUUUGAUAUCGUGAUGCAAGACUUCGAAACAAGCCAUGAAAAAUGAUAAAACAAAAUAUUUUUGAAUUUUAACUUGAUUACCUAAGGGAGAAAUUAUGAAAUAAACCAAAGAUAAAAUAUGUUAUUUUUUUCUCUUUCUUCUACGUACAAUUUCCUAACAUUCUUGUGGAAAUGAAAGAAUUUUUUUUAUUUUUUUUAUUUUGUUUGCUAAUUUCUCAAAGAAACACCUCAAAAGAAAAUCUCUUUGGAUUUUAAAUUAACACCUUAAAACAGGAUUUUAAAGAAGUACUAAAAGAAAAUUCUUUUUUUAGAAACAACCGUAAUUUGUCAUUUCUAGAAUUAGUAUUCUUAAAUAAAACUUAUAACGGAAAUAUAAAAAAAUGUUAAAUUUCUCUUCUUUUUUCAUUUCUACAAUCCAAUGGAACAAUGACCGUUAACAAAGCUUGAACCAAAAACUUUUCAAAAACCCAAUAUCAACCCAUUUAAAGACUCAAAAUAAGAAACCUUUGUUUUCACAAAGUUCAAUAUCUCAGACAAAGUUCAAUAUCACACAUAAUACGCUUCAAAUGCUCAUUGUAUGUGGAGCUGCAGUGGCUCGUUCUUAGUCCUUUUCUUUUUGCAUCAGUUCUGCUAGCUGCUAGCUGCUAGCUGCAAGACGAAGAAUAGAAAAAACUAUUAAUGAACUUAUGAAAUGAAAACAAACUAACUCAUGCGAAAUCCAAAUACGAAGGAAGAAUAGGCAAGUCCGUGAAAAGUGAAGACAAUCAAAAACUGCAAGUGACUUUCAACAUAUUGCAAGAUAAAAUAUUUUCCCAGAAAGACAAAUCAAGAAUGUUUAUCAGUGGAUAAGCAGGUCAUGUCAAAUGGCACCUUCUAACUGUUUUAUUAUUGCUCAGCUGACUUCUUAACCAUCUUAGCAAUGGUCUUAACUCCUUCAUGAACAUCAAAAGCAUUUGUUUGUACAUCCAUUACCAGUUUUCAGGAGAUACCUCGCCCCUGAGAGAUCAGAUCACAGAUCCACCACAGCAAAAACCUACGCGACAACGUUCCUCUAGUGGUAGCCCUCGUACCAAUCCAUACAAAGAAACUAACCAGGCAUCGUUAAAGUAUUACACAGAACUGCAAAUCGAUUCUCAUUAAGUAAUAUAGAUAUGUUUAUACUUUAUUUCUCAGUGCUUAUUCCUUUUAACUUUUUGUUUCAAACAACAGAGAACUCUAAUUGCGACAACACAAGUAGCACUCAUACUUAAACUUCCAAUAAACUUAAGCUUGGACCAAGACCAGAAACAAGCAUUGGUUUGCAUGGAGGUGGCUGAGGUUUCUUUGCUUUCAUUUGGUCUGCAGCGGGACUGGGGCCAAGGGUAAGUUCAAGUUCAGAUAUUUGAUUAGUUCUUGCUGCUGCUAGUCUCUGUUUUAGCUCAGAAUAUAAAGCUUGGUUCUCCUGUCUGAGCCGUUGUGCCACUUGCAAAAGAGAUCUCAUGCACCUGUAGCAUCUAUUACUUUUGCCUCGCCGAUUGAUGGAAUACAGACUAACUCUUUCCCAUGUUUUUUCAUGCACUCACUUUGCGCUAAGGUUAAAAUACCCCACUUGAAUUGUUUAGCCAGAAAUUCAAGUGCUACCUCAGGAUCUGCAUUGAAGGGUAGUUGCAACUGCAAGGAUCAUCACUGUAGGCGAACAAGUAUUCCCUGUCCAUGACUCGUAGCAAUUCCUUUUCACAGAAUCUCGCUGGAUGAAGUUCACCAUUUGCACCAAUUGUAAGAGUUCUCUUAGCUACUUGGCUAACUGUGUUCUUGACAGCAUUCUUUAAGUUUUCCUCCAAAUGCCUCAAGUCUAUAGCUUGGAAAAAUUCCACUAGAUAAGUUGAUGACAUGAGCUUUAAGGUAUCGACAACUUCAGCUGUUUUACUUGCUGAGAUUAAGCCUAAGGAGUUGACAUGUUGGUUGUGUUGCUCCAUACUUUUGACAUGGUUUGUCACCGGAUUUGCCAAGAAUUGAAGUUUUGAGCAGUAAGACACCAUGGCGAUUUUAGCUCCCUUGAAACCAUAGUCCAAGCUUGGAUUCCUUGAUGCAGUGAGAUUUGAUGGCAACCCAUUGUUGUAAUAGUCAUUGACAGGUUCCGAGAAUUGAGCAAACAUCAAUUUCCCAAUUGAUGCAAGAACCAACCUUGCAUUAUCCAUGGAAACACCGAUAGGAGUGCCUUGGAAGUUGCCACCAUGUAAUGCCUUGGAAGUUGCAUACCAGAACCAACUGUUGUACCAUUCACAAGUGAAAGUCCUUCCUUAGGCUGCUACUCAAGAAAUCCACCGUUAACACUAGUAGCACGGAACACCUCUUCAGCGUUAAGGGUCUCGCCAUUGGGACCAACAGACUUGGAAUUAGGCCUGCCAGUGAGCAAACCAACAAUGUAGGAUAACGGGACAAGAUCGCUCGAGGCAGUGAUCAUGCCACGGAGAGGCAAGCAGGGAGUGAUGUUGUUGUUAAUCAAUUUUGGAAUUGCUUCCAAAAUUUCAAAUUUGAUGCCAGAGUAGCCUUGUAGGAGUGUGUUGAUCCGAACAAGCAUAGCUGCCCUUGUUGCUAAAUGUGGCCAUGUGUGGCUUGUUUCUGUUCCACUGCCAAAAACACCAGCAUUCAAGCACCUAAUAAGUUAUUUUUGAAGAGCACCACCAUUCUUUGUUCUCCUAUGAGAAGUAGCACCAAAGUCAGUAGUAACACCAUAACUAUAUGUUCCUUUAUUCAUACUAUCCAAAACCCAAUCACUACUAGCUUUAACACCAGUUCUUGCCUAUUCAGAAAGUUCAAAUUUAAAACCAUUUACACUUUUGUCCCUAACAGCAAUAGCAGCCACUUGUGCCACUGUUAAAGUUUCACCACCAAGUUUUACCAUUGGUUUUCUAAAUUCAUUCACCAUUUUUUCACUUAAUCCAAAUGACUCCCUCUUAAAGAUAAAGAAUAGAAUUUGUGAUACUGACUGAUUAGUCCCGGGGUGUCUGUCAUGCCCAAACUCCGGUAAGUAGAUCCACCUAUAUGAAAAAACUCAAACCAACACUAGGUGAGACAAAAACACUCCCUAUUAGACACAUGCAAGACAUGGCUGCGAUUAUUUUUCUAAAAUUGACCUAUGGGGCGAAAAAAGCAAGAUUUGGCUAAGACCCCCCGAAGCCAAGAACAUAAAAUCUACUAGGAAGACCGGGCCCGGUGUGGAUUGCCUACGUAUCAUGCCCCCAAAGACGAGAAUACAUCCAAAUGACUCCCUCUUAAAGAUUAAAGAAAUUGUGAUCCUGACUGACUAGUGCCAGUGUGUCUGUCAUGCCCAAACUCCGGUAAGUAAAUCCACCUGUAUGAAAAAACUCAAACCAACACUAGGUGAGACAAACACGCUCCCUAUUAGACACAUACAAGACAUGGCUGCGAUUAUUUUUCUAAAAUUGACCUACGGGGCUAAAAAUGCAAGAUUUGGCUAAGACCCCGCGAAGCCGAGAACCUAAAAUCUACUAGGAAGACCGGACCUUAUGUGGGUUGCCUGCGUAUCCCGCCCCGAAAGACGAGAAUCAGGUUCGUGUAGUUCGGACCGAUUGGAUACGGACGAGAAUUAAAAGAAAAACAACUAAUCUAGAGAAAAUAUAUAUUUUCUUUUUCCUUAAAGAAAAUGAUGAAACAUUCCAAAUCUUUUUGGAUUUUCCUUUUUCUUGUAAUUGAUUUUCAAAAAAUGAUAAAAAGGGCAAAAUCUUUUGAAUUUCUCAUGCUUUUUAUUAAUUAAAAAUAAUAAUAAUAAUAAAACAUAACUAGGCCCUCAUUGCUUUAUUUUCACACUUCACCCUCUUUUUUCUUUUUCCUUUUUUUUUUCUUUUUUCCUUUUUCAUUUUCAUUUGCCCUCAACUAUCCUUGGUCCACCAAAUGACCCUUUUACCCUUAAAAUAAAUGCAACACGUAGCACAUAUGAUACAUCAAGAUGGUCUGUUUAUUUCAGGUAGCUUGUCCUAGACGGACCCAACCCUUGUGUUGAGUCCCAUAAGCCAAAUGCCAUGAUGCAAAUAAGCGUUCCUAUUAAGGAUCUGACAUGAAGUCAUGUUAUUCUAGGUUCAAAACCUAGGUCGAUGUUUUAGACUGUGUACCCGAGCGAACAACUCGAGUCGAGGAGGGGGCAACUUUCCGAAAACUAAAGGCCAUCCGGCUUAGUAACUUGUCCGGCCUCUUUAUUAUGUCAGGGUAUGACACUAACAGACCAAGGAGGUGAGAAGAGAAGGGUGUCGGCACAUUUCAUAUACAAUUCAGAUAAUAUCAAAGAGGUAACAUUUAGCGCAUUCGGCACAAAACAUGUAGGAAAAUCGGAUAUAACCAAAUACAACAAUUUAUCUAAGCUCGAAUUCUGAAUCCUGAACAAAACAUUCUGUAUUGUUGUCCCUAGCAGAGUCGCCAGAACUGUCACGCCUUCUUUUUCACUAAACCUGCAAGGGCAUAAAGGAGUUUUUCCACUUAAAGAACAAUCGGAACGGGAUUUAAUUAUUAAGAUUUCAGAGUCGCCACUUGGGAGAUUAAUGGUGUCCCAAGUCAACGGUUGAAUCCCAAACCGAGGAAAAAUAUUGACUCAGUUAACAGUCCGCGAACCAGAAAUCCGGGUAAGGAAUUCUGUUAAUCAGGGAGAAUGUGUUAGGCAUUCCCGAGUUCUUGGUUCUACCACGGUCGCUUAACUAUUAUAUUUGAUUUUAUCUAAUUUCAAAACAUAUUUUAGCUUAUGUGCUUUUCAACCUUAGAAAGCUUUUAUAUUUAUUUUUAAUGAGAAUUGAAACGUCGUGAAAAUACAUCUCCAACCAUGUCACAUCAAUGCGCCCGCGGUUGUUGACAUAUUUCAACUUCGUUGGGAUUUGGAUUUGGGUCACAUAAAUGUGAACCCGAGAUUAAGAAGGUAAAUUAUUAAAAAUGCGCCUAAAGUGUCUAACGCGUUAUUAUCUUUGGGGGAGGGCUGUGAAAUUUUCUAAACAGCCCGUCCCGAUUCUAAUUUCAAAGGAUUGUACUCAACUAAAGCAAACUACGAGAUUUCAACAUCAAAUUAUCACUUUCUCGUCCUAACUCUCAACUCACCGCCCAUUGUCACCUAAAUCAAACAGCUAGCACCAAAACAUCUUCCUAUACAUCCAAUUAUUGGUAACAAAUUAACAACAAUGAGUAGAGAAGAAUAACUCAAAUAACAACAUUAAAAUUGCUACACAUAUUGCACACACAACCAAAGAUCUAGCUAACUACCAAAAUUCAUAAAAUUUAUAUCCUAAGUGCCUAUGAUCAUGCUGUAACGGGGUAAAAGCAACGGUACACAAAUGCCUUUCAUCAAGCAAAACCACAGUAACCUGCAAUUGAUAUCACUUUAAGCAUAACACUACAUCUACAAGCUCAAUAAUGCAUAGAUCUUAGCAAGACGGACUUGAGAUAAUCGUUUCCUUUCAAGCUUAAUUUCAACCAGAUGCGCUACUGAUCAUAAUUAGUGCAACAAUCAGAUUUUAGCCAUAAACAUGCGGCAAGCAAAUCUACACUCGAAUACAACUUUAAACAUGGACGCUUGAAUCAAGACAUAAUAACUUUCACCAAAAUACUACUUCUAAGUUUAUUCGGCUAUUGGAAUCAGACAACAAAUUCGAAAAAAGACUAGUAUUCUCUUUCCACAUAGACCGAAGACGUAAACAAUUCAAUCUAUUUAAACCCCGGCUCUCAUUAUCAGUUAAUCAUACCUUCAGCAUAAGAGUCAAAGAUUCAAACCUGAAUAAGAGCUUUGAAUUGAUGUUGAAAUCACUAGAAAGAGGUACAAAUGAAUUUGGAUGUGCAAAUUCCAGCAGCGAGCUAAACAUUGAGUAGCAACAAAAAACUAAUCAGACUAAACACAGCGGAACCUCGAGCAACAGCGGGGAACUCGACUCGACACCUCGACUCGAUUUCAAAAACUCAAAUAGUUCUCAGACGGCCACUCGAAGCAGUGAACCAAUUGAAACAACGGCUCUGAAUUCGACAACCACCAGUGAAUCCAAAUCCACAUUCGUUCACUUGAAGUCCAUCAUUUAAGAAUUUAACUCAAAACCCAAAACAAAUUUAAAAAAUCGAGAACAGAGGAAGGGAAAGACGAAUCUGUGUUUUUUUCUGUCCCCAGAUCUCCUCUCCCCCUUUUCUAAUUCUCUUAGUCUGUCCAAUAGAGGAGAGUGCGUGCAUUUUUAUCUAAAGAAGAAGAUGGGUAGAUUCACGUUAUUUCCGUGUCCCUAAGGUGUGAGGGAUC
rnacentral:lncRNA from 1 species